UACGGGGGGAGCAAGCGUUGUUCGGAUUUACUGGGCGUAAAGGGCGCGUAGGCGGUUUGUUGCGUCGGCUGUGAAAUCCCGAGGCUCAACCUCGGGUCUGCAGUCGAUACGAGCAAACUAGAGUGUUGCAGGGGAGACUGGAAUUCCUGGUGUAGCGGUGAAAUGCGCAGAUAUCAGGAGGAACACCGGUGGCGAAGGCGGGUCUCUGGGCAACAACUGACGCUGAGGAGCGAAAGCGUGGGGAGCGAACAGG
rnacentral:rRNA from 1 species